AAGCACUUCAGUAUUUUUUUUUUCAGAUUUCUCUCGCAUUUAACAAAAAUCAGACCUUCGGCGUCAUUUUUCCACCUUCCCCUCCAACUUUCCAUGUUCCUUCGUUCUCCCCUUUUCUUGGUGAUAAACUUCCCUUUUCAGAGCUAUCCCUCAUAAUUUCUUUAGAGAGAUGGAAUUCAGAUAAUCAAAAUUAGUAACUUGUUUUCUUGCUAAAGACUCAAAAAUGCUAUCAAGCAAAUUAACGUCAAGUUCAAUGAGGUUAACAACCUAAUUGUUGGAGAGCGCAUCAUUGUGGACUUUGAUGAGUACAACGCAACAUAUGGUGACGCUCAAGGAUUGCUCGCUAGAUAUUGUGGAUCAUUGACAAUUGAUUGUAAUUUAUUCCUGAUACGCUCAAAUUACAUCUAUUAUUGGCGUAAAGCGUAUAUUGUCAAAUAUAGUAACCCAAACAAGGUUGGGGUUGAAUUCCACAGGAAAUAUGGAGAGAAAAAGAUACUAAUUAUAUAUGUAACUAAUCUCUAGAAACUUUAAUUUUAUUCCGAACAGUAUAGAGGAGAGGUUUGGUUUGUAUGUGCUAUUUUAAAGUAUUUGGGAUUUGUUUGGAUUGAAAGAACCAAA